AUGGUAGUGCCAGUACUUCAUUUUAUUGACACAGAGCUAACUGUACAUGCUCUCUGCACACUGCAACUCAGCAAAUGCUUCAGUAGUGUUUACUAAGGUGAGGUAUAAAAGAACUGUCAUCAGCAGGAACUGUUUCCAGUGUAGCAAUAUAAUGUAAAGAUAUAUUAUAUGGGUUUCAUCACUCAAGUCAUUUAUUGCAUGGUUGUUUAGUUAAUAAUUACAUAUGUGACCUGGCAACAUUUUGAUUUCUUAAAGUGACUCUGUCACUUUCUCUCCACCACAUCACCCAGCCUUUCAAUGGGUCCCCCCAACCCUCUCCACCCUCUAUGAAUGUAAGUGGUCCUGUGGCUGGUGCUUUUUUUGAGUCUUGAUAGUUGUGCCAAGUCAUCCAUCUCAUUGUUUCCAGAAUACC